UUGCAUGUUAUGUUCUAGAAGAUCAUCAUGCUGAUGGCCUGCUGCACCCCGUCCAAGACAAUCUCCACGGCUAUGAACUCGACUAGUGUGUUUUUAAUUAUGUUGGCCAAUGAGACAGACACCAUACUGUCCAACUCAAAGAUAAGAUAUAAUCAUUUGACCCUGUGAUUCUUCAGGACCAG